CUGGCGAGUUCUGGCACUCCAGGAAGUCAUGGCACGUGGUGCGCUCGCACUUCCUGCAGGGAGGAUAGGCCGGGUCACCCACAGCUCGCCCACCCCCCUCAUCCCCAGACGGGGACACAGAUGGCACAGCUCAGCGGCAGGAUCAAGGGCCAGCUCUCUCCCUAAUGGCCGGGAAGCCUCAGGCAAGUCCCCUUACGUCCCCUGGGUCUCAGUUUCCUUGCCUGCGAGAUGAGGUUAAUAAAACCUUCACCGGCUCACUGGAAUGGCCGUAAGAAGUAGAUGUCAUGACAAGCCCCAUCUUACAAGGAGGGAAGCUGAGGCAGAGACAAGGCUCUACUGCUGGGGAGCACUGGACCAGGACCAGAACCCGGGGGACUGGCUCCCAAGCCUGCUUUGUUAGCCGCUGUCCCACACUUGCAGGGGGCGGAAGUGGGGAUAUCCCCACCGUGUGCCUAAAUCUCUAAGGGAGAGCGAGGCCAUCAGAGGCUGCAGAGUCCCCAGGACAGUGGCUGAGUGCAGCCAGCAGACCUUGGGCCACCAGGAGGGAGAGAGCUCCAGGCCCUGCCCUCAGGGAGCUCACCAUUCGGAGAUGUGGCUGAUGUCUCGGCACCCAAACAUCCCUUCAUUCAACAAAGAUUUAUUGAGCACCUGCUAUGCACCAAGCACUGUUCUUGGCACUGGGUGUACAUCAGUGACCAAGACAGAAAUCCCUGCCCUUGUGGGGCAGACACUCAAGGGGAGAGGACACAAUAAAUACAUAAACAAACAUAAAUGGAGGUGGUGAUGAG
rnacentral:lncRNA from 1 species